rnacentral:rRNA from 1 species
CAGUCGCCGCGGUAAUACGUAGGUGGCAAGCGUUGUCCGGAUUUAUUGGGCGUAAAGCGAGCGCAGGCGGUCAAUUAAGUCUGAUGUGAAAGCCCCCGGCUCAACCGGGGAGGGUCAUUGGAAACUGGUUGACUUGAGUGCAGAAGAGGAGAGUGGAAUUCCAUGUGUAGCGGUGAAAUGCGUAGAUAUAUGGAGGAACACCAGUGGCGAAGGCGACUCUUUGGUCUGUAACUGACGCUGAGGCUCGAAAGCGUGGGUAGCAAACAGGAUUAGAUACCCCUGUAGUCCCUGUCUCUUAUAA